GGUCCUGGCAGCAGUGAAGUUUGUUUAUGCUGCAGGUUCAGAGUCCCAAGCUGUACCUCGUCAGACUGCUCACUUUGCCAUCCGGGCUUUUACACAUGUCAACAAGGCAAAUGCAUCACCUACUCCAGUGGAGGGUCUGGGUGCUCAUGAGGCCUCAGACAUCUCCAAAGUUUGUCCACACAACAAGCAAGAAGGAAACCUGAGUUUUAAAUCCACUUGAGAUAAGAUGAUCCGGGACAUGCCACUUCCACCAGUGACAGAAGAUUCUUGCAGCUAGUUGCCGAAACACAAC